CAGCAGCCACGGGAAUACGUAGGUGGCAAGCGUUGUCCGGAAUUAUUGGGCGUAAAGGGCUCGCAGGCGGUUUCUUAAGUCUGAUGUGAAAGCCCUCGGCUCAACCGGGGAGGGUCAUUGGAAACUGGGAAACUUGAGUGCAGAAGAGGAGAGUAGAAUUCCACGUGUAGCGGUGAAAUGCGUAGAGAUGUGGAGGAACACCAGUGGCGAAGGCGACUCUCUGGUCUGUAACUGACGCUGAGGAGCGAAAGCGUGGGGAGCGAACAGGAUUAGAUACCCGAGUAGUCCCUGUCUCUUAUAC
rnacentral:rRNA from 1 species